AUUGAACGCUGGCGGCAGGCUUAACACAUGCAAGUCGAACGAGCGGCGGACGGGUGAGAAAUGUCUGGGACACUGCCUGAUGGAGGGGGAUAACUACUGGAAACGGUAGCUAAUACCGCAUACCAUCGGAUGUGCCCAGAUGGGAUUAGCUAGUAGGUGGGGUAAGGGCUCACCUAGGCGACGAUCCCUAGCUGGGCUGAGAGGAUGACCAGGCACACUGGAACUGAAACACGGUCCGGGCUCCUCCGGGAGGCAGCAGUGGGGAAUAUUGUACAAUGGGCGGAAGCCUGAUGCAACCAUGCCGCGUGUAUGAAGAAGGCCUUCGGGUUGUAAAGUACUUUCAGCGGGGAGGCGUUACCCGCAGAAGAAGCACCGGCUAACUCCGUGCCAGCAGCCGCGGUAAUUC
rnacentral:rRNA from 1 species